ensembl:snoRNA SNORA59A small nucleolar RNA, H/ACA box 59A
GCUCAGUGUGGUGGAUGGGGUGGUGCUGCCCUCCCAGCUUCACUGCUGCUGACCCUAGGCAGGUUGCUCAACACUUGAGCCCUGGUUUCCCCUCAGAGGCAGGUAGGAUUCCUGCCUCUGAGCAGCUGUGAGGACCAGCU